rnacentral:tmRNA from 1 species
CCUCUUUUCAUAUCGGCGCGGCCACCCUAUAUGGAGGAUGUCGGUUUCGGCCGACUAUGGCGAUAAAAUAUGUCGUGUAAUAGAUGCAGCGGACCCGGGGGCAGUACCCGGCGGCUCCACCAUAACAUCCGGCUUCGAAUGGGGCCGGAUGCUCUGACGGGGCCGAACCAGGAUCGACGUGUAUUGAAAGACGAUGUUUUCGCUCGGGCUGAGUAACCCGUUCAAGGCUCAAAACCUAUAAGUGCCAACGACAACGAAGCACUUGCUCUUGCUGCGUAAUUGAGGGCCUCGCGGCCUGACAUUACCCAAAUAGAACGCGGUUGGACCCGCCGGGCAACAGAAGGGUUACAGC